CUAUACAUGCAAGUCGAGCGGACAGAAGGGAGCUUGCUCCCGGAUGUUAGCGGCGGACGGGUGAGUAACACGUGGGUAACCUGCCUGUAAGACUGGGAUAACUCCGGGAAACCGGAGCUAAUACCGGAUAGUUCCUUGAACCGCAUGGUUCAAGGAUGAAAGACGGUUUCGGCUGUCACUUACAGAUGGACCCGCGGCGCAUUAGCUAGUUGGUGGGGUAAUGGCUCACCAAGGCGACGAUGCGUAGCCGACCUGAGAGGGUGAUCGGCCACACUGGGACUGAGACACGGCCCAGACUCCUACGGGAGGCAGCAGUAGGGAAUCUUCCGCAAUGGACGAAAGUCUGACGGAGCAACGCCGCGUGAGUGAUGAAGGUUUUCGGAUCGUAAAGCUCUGUUGUUAGGGAAGAACAAGUGCGAGAGUAACUGCUCGCACCUUGACGGUACCUAACCAGAAAGCCACGGCUAACUACGUGCCAGCAGCCGCGGUAAUACGUAGGUGGCAAGCGUUGUCCGGAAUUAUUGGGCGUAAAGGGCUCGCAGGCGGUUUCUUAAGUCUGAUGUGAAAGCCCCCGGCUCAACCGGGGAGGGUCAUUGGAAACUGGGAAACUUGAGUGCAGAAGAGGAGAGUGGAAUUCCACGUGUAGCGGUGAAAUGCGUAGAGAUGUGGAGGAACACCAGUGGCGAAGGCGACUCUCUGGUCUGUAACUGACGCUGAGGAGCGAAAGCGUGGGGAGCGAACAGGAUUAGAUACCCUGGUAGUCCACGCCGUAAACGAUGAGUGCUAAGUGUUAGGGGGUUUCCGCCCCUUAGUGCUGCAGCUAACGCAUUAAGCACUCCGCCUGGGGAGUACGGUCGCAAGACUGAAACUCAAAGGAAUUGACGGGGGCCCGCACAAGCGGUGGAGCAUGUGGUUUAAUUCGAAGCAACGCGAAGAACCUUACCAGGUCUUGACAUCCUCUGACAACCCUAGAGAUAGGGCUUUCCCUUCGGGGACAGAGUGACAGGUGGUGCAUGGUUGUCGUCAGC
rnacentral:rRNA from 1 species